AACGAACGCUGGCGGCAGGCCUAACACAUGCAAGUCGAGCGAAGCCUUCGGGCUUAGCGGCGGACGGGUGAGUAACGCGUGGGAACGUGCCCUUUGGUACGGAAUAGCCCCGGGAAACUGGGAGUAAUACCGUAUGUGGUCGAGAGACGAAAGAUUUAUCGCCAAAGGAUCGGCCCGCGUUGGAUUAGGUAGUUGGUGGGGUAAUGGCCUACCAAGCCGACGAUCCAUAGCUGGGUUGAGAGGAUGAUCAGCCACACUGGGACUGAGACACGGCCCAGACUCCUACGGGAGGCAGCAGUGGGGAAUCUUAGGCAAUGGGGGAAACCCUGAUCUAGCCAUGCCGCGUGAUCGAUGAAGGCCUUAGGGUUGUAAAGAUCUUUCAGUGGGGAAGAUAAUGACUGUACCCACAGAAGAAGCCCCGGCUAACUCCGUGCCAGCCGCCGCUGUAACAC
rnacentral:rRNA from 1 species